rnacentral:rRNA from 1 species
UACGGAGGGUCCAAGCGUUAUCCGGAUUUAUUGGGUUUAAAGGGUCCGUAGGCGGGGACUUAAGUCAGUGGUGAAAUCCUACAGCUCAACUGUAGCACUGCCAUUGAAACUGAGUUUCUUGAAUAUGAUUGAGGUAGGCGGAAUACGUCAUGUAGCGGUGAAAUGCUUAGAUAUGCCGUAGAACACCGAUAGCGAAGGCAGCUUACCAAGUCAUUAUUGACGCUGAUGGACGAAAGCGUGGGUAGCGAACAGG